rnacentral:rRNA from 1 species
UACGAAGGGUGCAAGCGUUACUCGGAAUUACUGGGCGUAAAGCGUGCGUAGGUGGUUUGUUAAGUCUGAUGUGAAAGCCCUGGGCUCAACCUGGGAACUGCAUUGGAAACUGGCUUACUAGAGUGCGGUAGAGGGGUGUGGAAUUCCCGGUGUAGCAGUGAAAUGCGUAGAUAUCGGGAGGAACACCGGUGGCGAAGGCGGCUACCUGGCCUAAGACUGACGCUGAGGUGCGAAAGCGUGGGGAGCGAACGGG